AGUCGAGCGGAUGAGAAGAGCUUGCUCUUCGAUUCAGCGGCGGACGGGUGAGUAAUGCCUAGGAAUCUGCCUGGUAGUGGGGGACAACGUUUCGAAAGGAACGCUAAUACCGCAUACGUCCUACGGGAGAAAGCAGGGGACCUUCGGGCCUUGCGCUAUCAGAUGAGCCUAGGUCGGAUUAGCUAGUUGGUGAGGUAAUGGCUCACCAAGGCGACGAUCCGUAACUGGUCUGAGAGGAUGAUCAGUCACACUGGAACUGAGACACGGUCCAGACUCCUACGGGAGGCAGCAGUGGGGAAUAUUGGACAAUGGGCGAAAGCCUGAUCCAGCCAUGCCGCGUGUGUGAAGAAGGUCUUCGGAUUGUAAAGCACUUUAAGUUGGGAGGAAGGGCAUUAACCUAAUACGUUAGUGUUUUGACGUUACCGACAGAAUAAGCACCGGCUAACUCUGUGCCAGCAGCCGCGGUAAUACAGAGGGUGCAAGCGUUAAUCGGAAUUACUGGGCGUAAAGCGCGCGUAGGUGGUUUGUUAAGUUGGAUGUGAAGGCCCCGGGCUCAACCUGGGAACUGCAUCCAAAACUGGCAAGCUAGAGUACGGUAGAGGGUGGUGGAAUUUCCUGUGUAGCGGUGAAAUGCGUAGAUAUAGGAAGGAACACCAGUGGCGAAGGCGACCACCUGGACUGAUACUGACACUGAGGUGCGAAAGCGUGGGGAGCAAAC
rnacentral:rRNA from 1 species